AGACUGACUCACGGGGAAGAGAAAAAGACAGUUGCUCGUGUGAGGUCGUCAGUUGGUGGUGCAGGGAGGAGAGACAGAGCAGCAGCGGAGGUGUGAGCACCAGACGAUAAAGGAGAGGUGAACUUACGUAAAGAUUUGGGGGAGUGUAUCCACGAAGCUCCCGGCCACCCGCAUUGAUCGAUCCGCUGUAAGCCGAACAGAGGCGGGUGGAUCUCGUCUAUGACCCGUCAGAAGCCGCAUUGAAGUCCGCCUCCUAAGUGAGUGGGCGGUACGUACUGGCAAGGCAGAGAGCUAGGAGGGAGGUGCGGCUGGGAUACUAAGAGCGACGCGACCCUCCGGAGCUGCUGGAUAGAGGACACAGCCUCAUAGAGACUGAAGGGCAGCUGUCCUGGCCAAUAAUUGAGUUGGGAGGAGGAGUCGAGGGAGAGGCUAUUCCCCUUUCAGGCUGACAGAUGAAUACGAAGAACCUGCAACGAAGAAAUAGAAGGUGUAAAAGGUAACGCCGUGAUAUGAG